CUUGCUACGGGAAAAGGGGAAGUGGGAAAGAAACCAUUCUCAGAAUAAGUCAGCAAAAUGGCAGGGAGCUUGUAUUUUGUACUUUUUUUUCCUUUCAUUAGGUUCUCUCUUCUUCGGGUUGAGAACAGAUUUGAGGAACCCAGGCAACUGCAAUCCAGAUAAUGCUCCUCGGAUGCUGCCUGAACUGGUGUGCUCUUCCAGCACCACUAAUACAGAUAAUGAUCAAGUCCGACCAGAAACCACCUCCUUUGAUCUUUAAUAACAUCAAUACAAGGAGGACCCAGGAGACUCAGAUACAGCCAAGGGCAGCCUUGAAAGAAUGAGAAGGGGAUGAACACUACCUGAUCAAAUUUAUCCCAUUCUGACUGGAACUAAGUGUAAACACCUCCUGGUAAAGAAGACCUGCUCUAAAUCAACCAGCCUUUGUGCAGCAUCACAUUACCAGCGCAAUGCAUGCACAAGGUUUGAUUGAUAGCGUCAGUGUGAAAGCAUUAAAUUACAUACCCAAGACAUGAGUUUGAUUGACAGGUGAAAAUUGAAGAUAAUUUCAAUCAGGUGUUUAUCUGAAGCAGAUGGGAAUUUCUCAUGUGAAAGCUGAGAAUUACUGAGGGAGGUUGCACGGCUGACUUCGAAAUAGCCGCCUGUUCAAAAUAUUUGAUCAGAAACGAUGAGAACAGUUCACAUCCACCCAGCAGGAUAAGACAGAAGGAGAGAUGUUAUGAGAGAUGGAGAGGGGAUUUUUAAACUUCUGUGGAAAUCAAGAAUUGGUGACUUUUGACCUGUCAUUCCAAUCCUAACAAAAAACAUGAAGCACAAUAUAUAAAUGAUG